rnacentral:rRNA from 1 species
GAAUUCACUAGUGAUUCAGGCCUAACACAUGCAAGUCGAGAGAUCUUCUUCGGAAGAGAGCGGCGGACGGGUGAGUAACGCGUGGGUAACCUGCCCUGUACACACGGAUAACAUACCGAAAGGUAUGCUAAUACGAGAUAAUAUGCUUUUAUCGCAUGGUAGAAGUAUCAAAGCUCCGGCGGUACAGGAUGGACCCGCGUCUGAUUAGCUAGUUGGUAAGGUAACGGCUUACCAAGGCGACGAUCAGUAGCCGACCUGAGAGGGUGAUCGGCCACAUUGGAACUGAGACACGGUCCAAACUCCUACGGGAGGCAGCAGUGGGGAAUAUUUCACGAAGGGCGAAAGCCUGAUGCAGCAA